CCCCCAAUGGUGCAGUAGGUCAGUGUGUCCGGCUGUUAAUCGGAAGGUUGGUGGUUCAAGCCCACCCAGGGAUCGCUGUGGGG